rnacentral:rRNA from 1 species
UUCGGGUUGUAAACCUCUUUCAGCAGGGAAGAAGCGAAAGUGACGGUACCUGCAGAAGAAGCGCCGGCUAACUACGUGCCAGCAGCCGCGGUAAUACGUAGGGCGCAAGCGUUAUCCGGAAUUAUUGGGCGUAAAGAGCUCGUAGGCGGUUUGUCGCGUCUGCUGUGAAAGCCCGGGGCUCAACCCCGGGUCUGCAGUGGGUACGGGCAGACUAGAGUGCAGUAGGGGAGACUGGAAUUCCUGGUGUAGCGGUGAAAUGCGCAGAUAUCAGGAGGAACACCGAUGGCGAAGGCAGGUCUCUGGGCUGUAACUGACGCUGAGGAGCGAAAGCAUGGGGAGCGAACAGGAUUAGAUACCCUGGUAGUCCAUGCCGUAAACGUGGGCACUAGGUGUGGGGGACAUUCCACGUUUUCCGCGCCGUAGCUAACGCAUUAAGUGCCCCGCCUGGGGAGUACGGCCGCAAGGCUAAAACUCAAAGGAAUUGACGGGGGCCCGCACAAGCGGCGGAGCAUGCGGAUUAAUUCGAUGCAACGCGAAGAACCUUACCAAGGCUUGACAUGAACCGGUAAGACCUGGAAACAGGUCCCCCACUUGUGGCCGGUUUACAGGUGGUGCAUGGUGUCGUCAGCUCGUGUCGUGAGAUGUUGGGUUAAGUCCCGCAACGAGCGCAACCCUCGUUCUAUGUUGCCAGCGGGUUAUGCCGGGGACUCAUAGGAGACUGCCGGGGUCAACUCGGAGGAAGGUGGGGACGACGUCAAAUCAUCAUGCCCCUUAUGUCUUGGGCUUCACGCAUGCUACAAUGGCCGGUACAAAGGGUUGCGAUACUGUGAGGUGGAGCUAAUCCCAAAAAGCCGGUCUCAGUUCGGAUUGAGGUCUGCAACUCGACCUCAUGAAGUGGAGUCGCUAGUAAUCGCAGAUCAGCAACGCUGCGGUGAAUACGUUCCCGGGCCUUGUACAC